GGAGGAAUGGCAGAGUGGUCUAUUGUAGAUAAUGAUGUAUUUUAUUAUUGAGGUUAACGCCUCCGAGGGUUCGAAUCCCUUCUUCCUCCG
rnacentral:tRNA from 1 species